AGUCGAGCGAACGGACGAGAAGCUUGCUUCUCUGAUGUUAGCGGCGGACGGGUGAGUAACACGUGGAUAACCUACCUAUAAGACUGGGAUAACUUCGGGAAACCGGAGCUAAUACCGGAUAAUAUUUUGAACCGCAUGGUUCAAAAGUGAAAGACGGUCUUGCUGUCACUUAUAGAUGGAUCCGCGCUGCAUUAGCUAGUUGGUAAGGUAACGGCUUACCAAGGCAACGAUGCAUAGCCGACCUGAGAGGGUGAUCGGCCACACUGGAACUGAGACACGGUCCAGACUCCUACGGGAGGCAGCAGUAGGGAAUCUUCCGCAAUGGGCGAAAGCCUGACGGAGCAACGCCGCGUGAGUGAUGAAGGUCUUUGGAUCGUAAAACUCUGUUAUUAGGGAAGAACAUAUGUGUAAGUAACUGUGCACAUCUUGACGGUACCUAAUCAGAAAGCCACGGCUAACUACGUGCCAGCAGCCGCGGUAAUACGUAGGUGGCAAGCGUUAUCCGGAAUUAUUGGGCGUAAAGCGCGCGUAGGCGGUUUUUUAAGUCUGAUGUGAAAGCCCACGGCUCAACCGUGGAGGGUCAUUGGAAACUGGAAAACUUGAGUGCAGAAGAGGAAAGUGGAAUUCCAUGUGUAGCGGUGAAAUGCGCAGAGAUAUGGAGGAACACCAGUGGCGAAGGCGACUUUCUGGUCUGUAACUGACGCUGAUGUGCGAAAGCGUGGGGAUCAAACAGGAUUAGAUACCCUGGUAGUCCACGCCGUA
rnacentral:rRNA from 1 species